rnacentral:rRNA from 1 species
UCAGCAGCCGCGGUAAUACGUAGGGCGCAAGCGUUGUCCGGAAUUAUUGGGCGUAAAGAGCUCGUAGGUGGUUCGUUGCGUCGGGAGUGAAAACCCGCGGCUCAACCACGGGCCUGCUUCCGAUACGGGCGAGCUAGAGUUCGGCAGGGGAGACUGGAAUUCCUGGUGUAGCGGUGGAAUGCGCAGAUAUCAGGAGAGACACCGGUGGCGAAGGCGGGUCUCUGGGCCGAUACUGACACUGAGAAGCGAAAGCGUGGGGAGCGAACAGGAUUAGAUACCCUGGUAGUCCACGCCGUAAACGUUGGGAACUAGGUGUGGGGUCCAUUCCACGGGCUCUGUGCCGCAGCUAACGCAUUAAGUUCCCCGCCUGGGGAGUACGGCCGCAAGGCUAAAACUCAAAGGAAUUGACGGA